UACGGAGGGUGCGAGCGUUGUCCGGAAUCAUUGGGCGUAAAGAGCGUGUAGGCGGCCAGACAGGUCCGUUGUGAAAACUCGAGGCUCAACCUCGAGACGCCGAUGGAAACCGUCUGGCUAGAGUCCGGAAGAGGAGAGUGGAAUUCCUGGUGUAGCGGUGAAAUGCGCAGAUAUCAGGAAGAACACCCGUGGCUAAGGCGGCUCUCUAGUACGGUACUGACGCUGAGACGCGAAAGCGUGGGGAGCGAACAGG
rnacentral:rRNA from 1 species